UACGAAGGGGGCUAGCGUUGCUCGGAAUCACUGGGCGUAAAGGGCGCGUAGGCGGAUCUUUAAGUCGGGGGUGAAAGCCCAGGGCUCAACCCUGGAAUUGCCUUCGAUACUGAAGAUCUCGAGACCGGAAGAGGUAAGUGGAACUGCGAGUGUAGAGGUGAAAUUCGUAGAUAUUCGCAAGAACACCAGUGGCGAAGGCGGCUCACUGGCCCGGUACUGACGCUGAGGUGCGAAAGCGUGGGGAGCAAACAGG
rnacentral:rRNA from 1 species